GGGGCUGUGGCUUAGUGGCAGAGCAUCUGCUUGACAAGCAAAAGGUCCCAGGUUCGAUCCCUGGAACCUCCA